rnacentral:tRNA from 1 species
GCUGGCGUAGCUUAUCCAAAGCAUAACACUGAAGAUGUUAAGAUGAGCCCUGAAAAGCUCCGCAAGCA